UACGAAGGGGGCUAGCGUUGUUCGGAAUUACUGGGCGUAAAGCGCACGUAGGCGGAUAUUUAAGUCAGGGGUGAAAUCCCAGAGCUCAACUCUGGAACUGCCUUUGAUACUGGGUAUCUUGAGUAUGGAAGAGGUAAGUGGAAUUCCGAGUGUAGAGGUGAAAUUCGUAGAUAUUCGGAGGAACACCAGUGGCGAAGGCGGCUUACUGGUCCAUUACUGACGCUGAGGUGCGAAAGCGUGGGGAGCAAACAGGG
rnacentral:rRNA from 1 species